rnacentral:rRNA from 1 species
AGUCGAACGGUAACAUUUCUAGCUUGCUAGAAGAUGACGAGUGGCGGACGGGUGAGUAAUGCUUGGGAACUUGCCUUUGCGAGGGGGAUAACAGUUGGAAACGACUGCUAAUACCGCAUAAUGUCUUCGGACCAAACGGGGCUUCGGCUCCGGCGCAAAGAGAGGCCCAAGUGAGAUUAGCUAGUUGGUAAGGUAACGGCUUACCAAGGCGACGAUCUCUAGCUGUUCUGAGAGGAAGAUCAGCCACACUGGGACUGAGACACGGCCCAGACUCCUACGGGAGGCAGCAGUGGGGAAUAUUGCACGAUGGGGGAAACCCUGAUGCAGCCAUGCCGCGUGUGUGAAGAAGGCCUUCGGGUUGUAAAGCACUUUCAGUUGUGAGGAAAAGUUAGUAGUUAAUACCUGCUAGCCGUGACGUUAACAACAGAAGAAGCACCGGCUAACUCCGUGCCAGCAGCCGCGGUAAUACGGAGGGUGCGAGCGUUAAUCGGAAUUACUGGGCGUAAAGCGCACGCAGGCGGUUUGUUAAGCUAGAUGUGAAAGCCCCGGGCUCAACCUGGGAUGGUCAUUUAGAACUGGCAGACUAGAGUCUUGGAGAGGGGAGUGGAAUUCCAGGUGUAGCGGUGAAAUGCGUAGAUAUCUGGAGGAACAUCAGUGGCGAAGGCGACUCCCUGGCCAAAGACUGACGCUCAUGUGCGAAAGUGUGGGUAGCGAAUAGGAUUAGAUACCCUGGUAGUCCACACCGUAAGCGCUGUCUACUAGCUGUGUGUGCCUUUAAGGCGUGCGUAGCGAAGCUAACGCGCUAAGUAGACCGCCUGGGGAGUUCGGCCGCAAGGUUAAAACUCAAAUGAAUUGACGGGGGCCCGCACAAGCGGUGGAGCAUGUGGUUUAAUUCGAUGCAACGCGAAGAACCUUACCUACACUUGACAUGCUGAGAAGUUACUAGAGAUAGUUUCGUGCCUUCGGGAACUC